rnacentral:lncRNA from 10 species
CUCCCCCGCUCACCUGCCGCCGCUGCCGAGCCGCGCCCCGCCGCUCCGCCCGCCCCUUCCGCCGCCCGGGGCUGCCGUGCCGCGGCUGAGGGCUGUCGGGCCGCGGGCUCAGGCUCAAGUCCAGGCCGGGCUCGGGCACUGGGGCUCGGAGUUGCGGGACUUGGGGCUCCGGGGGUGGCCCCGGGACCGCCGCGGCUUCUUCCCCGUCCGCCGACUUCAGCUCUGACUCCCCACAACCCAUCAUCAUCUUUGGAGGAAGUGCUGUGGAACAUCAGAUAGAAUGGAUAGCACAGCCCAAAUUUUACAAAAAGGAUUUUAAAGGAAGAUCUCAAUGGUGGAACACUAGAGGCUUUCCUGCUAAAGUUAAGAACAAGCAAAGGCUGACGCAGUUUUGGCAUGCAGGAAGUGUUGGAGCUGAGACUCGAAACUGUCCCCCAGGCCUUGGCCAUGCUGAUAAAUAUCUAGGCCCUACAGGAGUUCGUGUCCAUGAACCCAGUAAACGCAAUUCCUCAGCCUUAAAAUCUAGUCACUGACUCAUUUCAGGCCCCAGCACAGACGAAAACAAGCCAUUCUGUUUGCCCAGUUUACAUUGCGGGUCUCCAAGAAGUGGAAUGUUCACCAAUGAUUUUAAGAAAACAGGGCCUGGCGCGGUGGCUCACGCCUGUAAUCCCAGCACUUUGGGAGGCCGAGGCAGGCAGAUCACCUGAGGUUGGGAGUUUGAGAUCAGCCUGACCAACAUGGAGAAACCCCAUUUCUACUAAAAAUACAAAAUUAGCCGGGUGUGGUGGUGCAUGCUUGUAAUCCCAGCUACUCAGGAGGCUGAGGCAGAAUUGCCUGAAGCUGGGAGGCGGAGGUUGCAGUGAGCCAGAGAUCGUGCCAUUACAUUCCAGCCUGGGCAACAAGAGCAAAACUCUGUCUCAAAAUAAUAAUAAUAAUAAUAAUAAUUAAAAAAAAAAAAACAGUACGAGUGUGAAGAUCGGAAGGUGGAGGUGAGGGAGGUGAGAGGUCUUGGGCCUGCCCACAUUCUUCCUAAGCUAUUUUGGCUGGCCCAGGCUGGGAGGCCAGGAAUUGCUUUUCCUCUUCAAAAGAAAAGGGGACAAAAAAUUAGCUGGGCGUGGUAGCACUCAUCUGUAGUCCCAGCUACUCAGGAGGCUGAGGCAGAAGAAUUGCUUGAACCGGGGAGGCAGAGGUUGCAGUAAGCUGAGAUUGUGCUGCUGCCCUCCAGCCUGGGUGACAGAGCGAGACUCGGUCUCAAAAAAAAAAAAAAAAAAAAUGGGGAGGAGGACAGGGCAUGGUGGUUCAUGCCUAUAAUUCCAGCAUUUUGGGAGGCCAAGGCAGGCAGAUCACUUGAGGCCAGGAGUUCGAGACCAACCUGGGCAACACAGUGAAACCCUUUCUCUACUAAAACUACAAAAAAUUACCUGGGCAUGGCAGCACAUGCCUGUAAUUUCAGCUACUCGGGAGGCUGAGGCAUGAGAAUCACUUGAACCUGAGAGGGGGAGGUUGCAGUGAGCCAAGAUGGCACCACUGCACUCCAGCCUGGGCAACAGCGUGAGACUCUGUCUCAAAAAAAAAAAAAAAAAAAAAAAAUGGCUGGGACACCGUGACUCAUGCCUGUAAUUCCAGCACUUUGGGAGGCAGAGGCAGGAGGAUCCCUGUGAGGCCAGGAGUUCAAGACCAGCCUGGGCAACAUAGUGAGACCCAGUCUCUAUAAAAAAAUUAAAAAUUAGCCAGGCGUGGUGGUGUAUUCCUGUAGUCCCAGGUACCGGGGAGGUUGAGGUGGGAGGAUCCCUUGAGCCCAGGACUUCGAGGCUGCAGUGAGCUAUGAUCACGCCACUGCACUCCAGCCUUGGCGACAGAGCAACACCCAUCUCUUAAAUAUUAUUUAUUAUAAGGCUUUUGGGCUGGGUGCUGUGGCUCACGCCUGUAAUCCCAGCACUUUGGGAGGCCGAGGCGGGCGGAUCACGAGGUCAGGAGAUUAACACCAUCCUGGCUAACACGGUGAAACCCUGUCUCUACUAAAAAUACAAAAAAUUAGCCGGGUGUGGUGGCAUGCGCCUCUAGUCCCAGCUACUCAGUAGGCUGAGGCAGGAGUAUGGCGUGAACCUGGGAGUCGGAGCUUGCAGUGAGCCGAGAUCGCACCACUGCACUCCAGCCUGGGCAACAGAGCGAGACUCCGUCUCAAAAAAAAAAAAAAAAAGACUUUUGAUUGGGUUAGACCUCACCAGUUAGAGAUGCUCCUUUAGUUAUCUGAGGCUGCUGAGUGGGGUAAUCCUAGACCUGGAUGCUAGUUUGAAGAAAGCAAGUCUCAGUGCUGGAAGGGGUCAUUCAAGGUCAUCCAUGAGCUUCUGCUGAGCCAGGUGCUAUAGGUGGGCUAGGUGGGACAGGAGACAGGUCAGCAUCCAGGGUCCUUGAAGGGACCAUGUCCUUAAGAAGAGGUAGGAUGCCUCCAAUGCAGUGGUCCACUGCACGGUGUGGCUGAGACUGCUACAGAGGACACAUGGGAAGACCUGCCAGGGUUGGGGGUGGGGGAGGAGCAAGGGCGUCAUCCUGGAAGUCACCCCCAAAUAGGGCCAAGAAAGAUCAGAGAGACAGCAAAGCUCUAAUACCACCCUCUGCAAACCCCACCUAUGGCGACCUCUCACCUCCUGUCUCCUAUUCUCAAACUGGCCUAUGCCUAAGGGCCAACCCAGAGACACUUCCACACUGGUCCCUGUCACACGAGACACGCUGGAAGAUGGGAAUGGCCAACCUCCAGACACACACACAUCCAGGCUCCUAUCCCCAGAGUGCGUGUUCUCAUCCUACUGCAUCUCGGAGGCUGGCAGGGUGAAUCCCCCAGCAGGUCAGGUAGGUCUGAGGUGUCUCAGCCUGAACUCAUGACUCCAAACCACCUUCACGCCUUCGUCCCAACCCAGAAGGAAGAGAUCCAGGGAGGAGGGCACACAUCGGGCUGCAGGCCAACACACUGACCCUGAGCCUGGCCUCCCCAGCAUCAGGCUGAGGAACAGGAGGGUUGAGAUGAGCCCCAUUAGGUAUGUGUGAAGUCUCUGGGACAUGGGAUGAUGCCAGCUGCUGGGAUGCAGAAAAGUUGGAGGCAGGGGACAGAGUCUCAUUCAAAAGAAUUUGUCCAUAAUCCAAGCUGGGUGUUGUGGCUCACGCCUAUAAUCCCAGCACUUUGGGAGGCCCAAGCAGAUGGAUCACUUGAGGUCAGGAGUUCAAGACCAGCCUGGCCAACAUGCUGAAACCCCGUCUCUACUAAAAAUAUAAAAAUUACCCGUAUGUGGUAGCCCAGGCCUGUAAUCCCAGUUACUUGGGAGGCUGAGGUGGGAGGAUUGCUUGAACCCAGGAGGUGGAGGUUGCAGUGAGCCCAGAUCAUGCCACUGCACACCAGCCUGGGCAACAAAGCGAGCAAAGCGAGACUCCAUUUCAAAAAAAAAAAAAAAAAAUUUUAGCUGCGUGUGCUGGCACAUGCCUGCAAAUCCCAGCUACUCCGGAGGCUGAGGCAUGAGAAUCACUUGAACCUGGGAGGCAGAGGUUACAGUGAGCCGCCAGCAACUGUAUCUCAAAUAAAUAAAUAAAUAAAUAAGAAUUUGUCUGGAAUCUGGGUGAGGCAGAGGAAAAUGAAAGAAACCAGAAAAGCAAAGAUAAACAGAUUUGCAGGGUGGGGUGGAGGAUGGAGAAUUCAAUGGAGCUGAGCACAGCAAGGAGGAGAAUGUUGGGCUGAAGGCCUGAGCUUGCUGGGGAGAUGUCCUUGAUGUCCACACUGGGCAUAGAAGGUUGAUUGAUGCCAGUGGUUAGGGUCCCAAAGAGCCCAGGGACAGCUGGAGGUAGAAAGAAAGGGUGUGGAGGCACGGAAGAUGGGCCCAUAACCCAGGAAAAGGGAGCCACAGAUAGGGGAAAUGUAUGCAGAAAUCGCCACCCUCACUCUGGGAGGCAGGUCCCGACAGAUCCCCUUAGCAGGGGACCAAUGCCCAGGACCUUGGGGAGAUGGUUGGGGACGGGGGAAGCAGCAGAUGGUCUGUUACUCAAUGAGCACACAGGAGAUGUUGGGGGGUCUUGGGGUGGAGAGUGAUUCCAUGGAAGCCUCUGGAUUGGACAAGGAGAUGUUGGUGUGAGGUUUUUCCACAGUCCAAGAGAGGCGAUUGGACAAGGAGAUGUUGGUGUGAGGUUUUUCCACAGUCCAAGAGAGGCUGGUAGAAGAAAAGCAGGUUCUGCUAUCAGGCCGGGUGCAGUGGCUCACACCUGUAAUCUCAGCCCUUUGGGAGGCCCAGGUGGGAGCAUCACAUGAGGACAGGCAUUCGAGAGCAGCCUGGGCAAGAUGGUGAAACCCUGUCUCUACAAUAAAAACACAAAAAAAUUAGCCGGGUGUGGUGGUGUGCACCUGUAGUCCCAGCUACUCAGGAGGCUGAGACCGGAGGAUCACUUGAGCCCAGGAGUUCAAGACCAGCCUGGGCUGGUCAAGACCCCAUUUCUAAAAAAAUUUAGCCAGGCAUGGUGGUGUAUGCCUGUAGUUCCAGCUACUUUGUUGGCUGAGGCAGGAGGGUCCCUUGAGCCCAGGAAUUUGAGGCUGCGCUGAGCUAUGAUUGUGCCACUUCACUCCAGUCUGGGUGACAGAGCGAGACCCUGUCUCUAAAAAUAAAUAAAUAAGCCAGGCGCAAUGGCUCAUGCUUGUAAUCUCAGUACUUUGGAAGGCCAAGGCGGGAGGAUCACUUGAGCCCAGAAGUUGGAGACCAGGCUGGGCAACAUAGAAAGACCCCAUCUCUACCAAAAAUUUAAAAAAUUAUCUGGGUGUGAUGGUGCACACUUAUAGUCCCAGCUACUCAGGAGGCUGAGGUGGGAGGAUCACUUGAGCCCAGGUCAAGGCUACAGUGAGUUAUGAUCACACCACGGCACUCCAGCCCGGGCAAAAAGCGAGACUGUCUCUAAACAAAUAAAUAAAUAAAAAGCCAUUUUUUUCACAUAUGAAUGGACUCCUGGGAAUGCAAGCUUGGAAAUGGGGAGGCCGAAGCCCUUGCCUCUCUGCCUCCUCGCAGCCCUGGCCCGUCUCUCGUCUGUCUCCCUGGGUUUCAGUCCCAGCUCCAGUGCCUACUGACCAUGUGACCUGGGGAUCAUUCCCUUUCCUCUGAGAGCCCCCCUCUUCCUCAUCUGAACACUGAGGAAAUGACUGGCCUCAUAUGGUUGCCAGAGCUCAGUUGGGGCCCUCAGAAGGUCGAGUCAUUGUUUUUCAGGAGCUGAUGAGAUCAUGGCACGUGUGCCAUUGACCUCUGUCCUUCCUCCCUCCCCACCUUUGACUCAGCCUGUCCUCUCCUCCUCUGGACGACCUCUGGGACAUCCUGCCCUUUUCCCGUGUUCAUUGUUUCUGCAGCAGAUGAGCAGGAUGUCGGGGAUGCUGGGAAAUGAAAGGCCCCUGGUCUCUCUGCCGGUAGGCUCUGAGGCAGGGGGUUCAGACCCUCUCGCCUCGGGCUCCUGCUGGCUGGCCCCACACGUGCCCCCUCCAGCCCCAGCCCUGCUCAGUGGAGAAAACAGAUAAGGCAGGAAAUGUGGCCCCAGUUCUAGGAAGCUCAGAGUCCCAGGAGGCAGAAGACAUGCCUCUCACCCGCUCACUGACACCUGCUAUUUGCUGGGGCCUGGGAGUGGCAUGGACAGCUCUGAGUGGGGCCAGCUUUCACCCUCCCAGGGUGCAGCAUGAACUCUAACAUCCAGGCCAGGCCAGGCUCCAGGAAAGAGGAUGCAAAACUUCAUGCAGCCUGUGCAGAUUAAACACCAGCCCCAGCUCUGUGAAGGGUAGGUCAGCUCAGCCUGGAGGAUGGGAAGGCUUCCUGGAGGAAGAAGCCCUUGAAGGAAGUAGGUGGAACAGAAACUUGCUGUUCUCCUCUCUGGGAGUCUGAGACUGCCCUUUCUUUUUUUUUGAGACAGAGUCUCACUGUGUCUCCCAGGCUAGAGUGCUGGAGUGCAGUGGCACAAUCUCAGCUCACUGCAACCUCUGCUUCCCAGUUCAAGUGAUUCUUCUGCCCCAGUCUCCCAAGUAGCUGGGACUAUAUAGGUGUACGCCACCACACCUAGUUAAUUUAUGUAUUUUUAUUAGAGACAGGGUUUCGCCAAGUUGGCCAGGCUGGUCUUGAACUCCUGACCUCAGGUGAUCCGCCUGCCUCAGCCUCCCAAAAUCCUGGGAUUACAGGUGUGAGCCACCAUGCCCAGACUGCCUGCCCCUUUCUG